GACGAACGCUGGCGGCGUGCUUAACACAUGCAAGUCGAACGGAAAGGCCCUGUUCUUGUGGCGUGCUCGAGUGGCGAACGGGGGAGUAACACGCGAGUAACCUCCCCUUGACUUUGGGAUAACUCCAGGAAACUCGGGCGAUAACCGGAUAUGAGCUCUUGCUGCACGGGGGGGGUUGGAAAAUUUCGGCGGUUGGGGAUGGACUGGCGGCUUAGCAGCUUGUUGGUGGGGUAGUGGCUUACCAAGGCUUUGAGGGGUAGCCGGCCUGAGAGGGUGACCGGGCACAAUGGGACUCAGGUAGGACCCAGACGGCUACGGGAGGCAGCAGUGGGAAAUAUUCCGCAAUAGGCGGAAGCCUGAUAGAGCAACGCCGGGUGCGGAAUGACGGCCUUCGGGGUAUAAACCGCUUUCGCCUGUAACGAAGAGUGAGUGACGGUAACUAGUCAGGAAGCACCGGCUAACUACGUG
rnacentral:rRNA from 1 species